rnacentral:ncRNA from 2 species
CAACGAAAUGGCGAUGGAGUUCGCCGUAACCGCCCCCACUUCUGGUGGCUGAUGACUCCUGAAGGCGC